GACGAACGCUGGCGGCGUGCCUAAUACAUGCAAGUCGAGCGAAGUUUUUCUGGUGCUUGCACCGGAAAAACUUAGCGGCGAACGGGUGAGUAACACGUAAAGAACCUGCCUCAUAGACUGGGACAACUAUUGGAAACGAUAGCUAAUACCGGAUAACAGCAUUAACUGCAUGGUUGAUGUUUAAAGGUUGGUUUUGCUAACACUAUGAGAUGGCUUUGCGGUGCAUUAGCUAGUUGGUGGGGUAAAGGCCUACCAAGGCGACGAUGCAUAGCCGACCUGAGAGGGUGAUCGGCCACACUGGGACUGAGACACGGCCCAGACUCCUACGGGAGGCAGCAGUAGGGAAUCUUCCGCAAUGGGCGAAAGCCUGACGGAGCAACGCCGCGUGAGUGAAGAAGGAUUUCGGUUCGUAAAGCUCUGUUGUUAGGGAAGAAUGAUUGUGUAGUAACUAUACACAGUAGAGACGGUACCUAACCAGAAAGCCACGGCUAACUACGUG
rnacentral:rRNA from 1 species